rnacentral:siRNA from 1 species
UUCGGCGGAAGCGUCGUUCGGAC